CCUACGGGUGGCAGCAGUGGGGAAUAUUGGGCAAUGGGCGCAAGCCUGACCCAGCAACGCCGCGUGAAGGAAGAAGGCUUUCGGGUUGUAAACUUCUUUUAAGGGGGAAGAGCAGAAGACGGUAUCCCUUGAAUAAGCCACGGCUAACUACGUGCCAGCAGCCGCGGUAAUGCAUAGGUGGCAAGCGUUGUCCGGAUUUACUGGGUGUAAAGGGCGUGCAGCCGGAGAGACAAGUCAGAUGUGAAAUCCACGGGCUCAACCCGUGAACUGCAUUUGAAACUGGUUCCCUUGAGUGUCGGAGAGGUAAUCGGAAUUCCUUGUGUAGCGGUGAAAUGCGUAGAUAUAAGGAAGAACACCAGUGGCGAAGGCGGAUUACUGGACGAUAACUGACGGUGAGGCGCGAAAGCGUGGGGAGCAAACAGGAUUAGAUACCCGGGUAGUC
rnacentral:rRNA from 1 species